rnacentral:rRNA from 1 species
UGAGCAAUCUGUCCUUCUCUUCGGAAUAAGCGUUGGAAACGACGUCUAAUGCCGAAUACGACCUCCUUUCGCAUGAUCGGAGGUGGAAAGCUCCGGCGGAGAAGGAUGAGCUCGCGGCCUAUCAGCUAGUUGGUGUGGGUAAUGGCCCACCAAGGCGACGACGGGUAGCCGGCCUGAGAGGGUGACCGGCCACACUGGGACUGAGACACGGCCCAGACUCCGUACGGGAGGNAG